UUUAACCAAAAACGCCCCCCUUGCGAGGGACUUGCUACCUAAGUACCAUCCACAAAACUUAACGGCAUGGGAGAUUGCGUUCGUUGGUUGAAUCGUAAAAGGUCUUGUUGCCGAUUCGAGCGUUCGUCGCAAUGCAAAUGUCACGGGCUUGGUUAAUAUCUAUUAUCCUUGCUCUGCUUUCGAUAGAUUUCGAUUGAGAUUGACGUUCUUUCUUUUAGGAUUAAAGCACGCGUUGGGCGCGAUUGGAUCGUUGCCUUGCUUCCAGUGCUGCUGGUUGAUCUGCUUCGAAUCAGG
rnacentral:lncRNA from 1 species